GACGGAGGGUGCAAGCGUUGCUCGGAAUCACUGGGCGUAAAGCGCACGUAGGCGGCUUUCUAAGUCGGGGGGUGAAAUCCUGGAGCUCAACUCCAGAACUGCCUUUUGAUACUGGAGAGCUUGAGUCCGGGAAGAGGUGAGUGGAACUCCGAGUGUAGAGGUGAAAUUCGUAGAUAUUCGGAAGAACACCAGUGGCGAAGGCGGGUCUCUGG
rnacentral:rRNA from 1 species